rnacentral:misc_RNA from 1 species
AAUAUCUGACUGAGCAUCAA